rnacentral:sRNA from 1 species
AACACAACAAUGUCGUAAUGUGCACAAGA